rnacentral:misc_RNA from 1 species
GAUGAAGAACGCAGCGAAAUGCGAUACGUAAUGUGAAUUGCAGAAUUCAGUGAAUCAUCGAAUCUUUGAACGCAUAUUGCGCUCUCUGGUAUUCCGGAGAGCAUGCUUGUUUGAGUAUCAGUAAACACCUCAACUCCCUUUUCUUUUUUGAAAUUGGAGCUGGACUUGAGUGAUCCCAACGCUUUCUUCCAAGAAAGUGGCGGGUUGCUUGAAAUGCAGGUGCAGCUGAACUUUUCUCUGAGCUAUAAGCAUAUCUAUUUAGUCUGCCUAAAAAACAGAUUAUUACCUUUGCUGCAGCUAACAUAAAGGAGACUAGUUCUUGUGCUGACUGAUGCAGGAUUCACAGAGACAGCUUCGGCUGACUUUGUAAACUCGAUCGCAAAUCAAGUAAGACUACCCGCUGAACUUAAGCAUAUCAAUAAGCGGAGGA